ensembl:lncRNA
GCUCCAAUCCCAACUACACCCAAACCGACAACAUCAAGACCAACUACACCCAAACCCCCAACCCCCAAACCCACGACCCCAGAACCACCAGUGAAGUGCCCUCCCAAUGCUGAGUACAUAGAGUGUGGCCCAGCCUGCAUUCCCAGCUGUAAGGAACCCUCUACUAACUGCAGUGGUUCCUGUAUCAGCGCUUGUUUCUGUAAGCCAGGCUUUGUGUUCAAAGGGAGACGCUGCGUCCGUACUGAAACUUGUGGUUGUCUGGAAGGAGGCGACUACUAUGAGCCAGGAGAGGUCAUCUUUGGUGAUGGCUGCUCCAAACUGUGUCGUUGUGCUGGUAACUACACCCUUGACUGUGUGGACAACUCCUGCUCUCCCACAGAGGAAUGCCGCAGUGGAGCCUGUUAUCCUAAAGGUGCGGUUUAGUUAUCACGCUGGUAGAAACACUGAAAGGUUAUCAGAAUCAGUAUUACUGGUUAUUAUUAUGAGAAUGCUUGGGAAACCCUUAAGGAUGGUCUCAAUCAGUCAGUAUUAUAAUAGUUAA